AGUGGGAUAGCUGGGUCAAAUGGGGGUUCCAUUCCAAGUUUUCUAAGGAAUCUCCAUACUACUUUCCAAAUUGGUUGCAUCAAUGUGCAGUCCCACCAGCAAC
rnacentral:pre_miRNA from 1 species